GGGCUAGUAGCUCAGUGGUAGAGCACUCCAGUACAUAUGGAAGGUCCUAGGUUCAAGUCCUAGCUGGUCCA